CAAAAACAUUUUGCAGGCCGCUUCAUCUUCUACGCUACACUUCAACCCCUAUGUCUUCUCUGCACUGCAAAACUCAGCCACUUCAUCUUCUCCGCUCUACAAAACUCAGCCCCUGCAUAUGAUUUGUUUUUCUAGUUCACUCAUCGGCUGCUGGUUCAUCAGAAAAAGAGAAGGAAGAAGGUUGAUCACUGAAGCAUACCUCCAGCAUUUUGGUUCAUUGGAAGUUAAUUCCCAUCCUGCCUUUUAAAUUGAUCAUAUUUUCAAGCUAUGUCUCUGGACACUUGGCUACAAAGGCAAUUCUGGGAAUUUUUGGGUGUCCAGAGAUGUUUUUGGGGUGUGUAUCAAAAGCUAAUCACCCUUAUAUACGUAGGGAUGAAUGCUUUAUUGGGUGUCCACAGAUACACUAUUUAAUGAAUGCUUUAUUGGGUACUAAUAAUUUGGAAUUUGUUAAAUGGUGAAAUGGUUAAGAGUGGUGAUUAGAUGGGGAUGCUGUCCUUAAUGUUGAACAACUGCUUAUGAAUGGAGCCUUGUAUGUUGGUCAAACUGUGUAAAUGUUAUUAUUAUGUUAUAUAUCCAGAGUGCUUGCCUAUGUAGCUCAUGUCUAUGAGUCUAGCUAUUUUCGUUGUCAUAAUACAUUUCAGAUUUAAGCA